GCCCGCCGAGGGAGAGCGCGAGUGAGGGGUGGGCCGCCGAGACGAUGCCGCGGGGCCGCCCCCCGAAGCCCCGGGACGGCGCGGCGCGCGGCGACUCCGAUGGUGUCUUACCCUUGGAUGUGGACAACAUUGACGAUGACUGUCCAGUCCCAAACUUCCACAAAUGUGAGAUCUGUCUGCUGUCGUUUCCAAAAGAGUCCCAGUUUCAACGCCACAUGAGAGAUCAUGAGCUAAAUGACAAGCCGCAUCGAUGUGACCAGUGUCCCCAGACAUUCAAUGUUGAGUUCAACCUGGCCCUUCAUAAGUGCACGCACAAUGGGGAGGACCCCGCGUGCCCCGUGUGCCACAAGAAGUUCUCCAGAGUGGCCAGCCUCAAAGCACACAUCAUGCUCCACGAAAAGGAAGAGAAUCUGAUCUGCUCUGAGUGUGGGGAUGAGUUUACACUGCAGAGCCAGCUGGCCAUACACAUGGAGGAACACCGGCAAGAGCUGGCCCACACCCGCGUCCACACCUGCAAGGCCUGCAAGAACGAGUUUGAGACGUCAGCGGAGCUGAAGGAGCACAUGAAGACUCACUACAAAGUUAGGGUAUCGGGUACAAGGUCUUACAAUCGGAACAUUGACAGAAGUGGCUUCACCUAUUCCUGUCCACACUGUGGGAAGACAUUUCAAAAGCCUAGCCAGUUAACUCGACAUAUAAGGAUACAUACAGGUGAGAGGCCGUUCAAAUGCAGCGAGUGUGGAAAAGCAUUUAACCAGAAGGGGGCGCUGCAAACCCACAUGGUCAAGCAUACAGGCGAGAAGCCCCAUGCCUGUGCUUUUUGUCCUGCUGCCUUCUCUCAGAAGGGGAACCUUCAGUCCCAUGUGCAGAGAGUCCAUUCCGAGGUCAAGAAUGGUCCUACCUAUAACUGUACAGAAUGUAGUUGUGUGUUUAAAAGUUUGGGUAGCUUGAACACGCACAUCAGCAAGAUGCACAUGGGUGGGGCCUCAAAUUCCACAGGCUCUACGGAGACUGCACAUGUAAUAACGGCCACGCUUUUUCAGACUCUGCCUCUGCAGCCGACGGAAGCCCAGGUCUCCACCUCCGGCCAGCAGAACUCCCAGGCAGUGACUGAUGUCAUCCAGCAGCUCCUCGAGCUGUCGGAGCCGGGGACUGUGGACGCCCAGCAGAUCCCGCAGGCUGGUCAGCAGCUGAGCAUCACAGUGGGCAUCAACCAGGACAUCCUCCAGCAAGCCUUAGAAAACAGUGGGCUGUCUUCACUUCCAGUUGCAGCACCUCCCAGCGACUGCAGCCACACCCCGGCGCCCGCAGCGCAGCCUCCCAGUCCACCUGCCUCGGGUGACUCCGCAGAGCCGGUGGACCCCACGGGUGCUGCGCAGGAAAAGGGGCGGGAGAGCCCCGAGAAGGCAGAAAAGAAAGAGAAGAAAGUCAUGAAGAAGAAGUCUCCGUUUCUACCCGGCUCUGUCCGAGAAGAGAACGGGGUGCGGUGGCACGUCUGCCCCUACUGCACCAAGGAGUUCCGGAAGCCCAGCGACCUCGUCCGUCACAUCCGCAUCCACACCCACGAGAAGCCCUUCAAGUGUCCGCAGUGCUUCCGCGCCUUCGCGGUGAAGAGCACGCUCACCGCGCACAUCAAAACCCACACUGGCGUCAAGGCCUUUAAGUGCCAGUACUGCAUGAAGAGCUUUUCCACCUCAGGGAGCCUCAAGGUGCACAUCCGCCUGCACACAGGAGUCAGACCUUUUGCCUGUCCUCACUGUGACAAAAAGUUCCGAACCUCAGGACACAGGAAGACUCACGUGGCCUCCCACUUCAAGCACACGGAGCUGAGGAAGAUGAGGCACCAGCGCAAACCCACCAAGGUCCGCGUCGGCAAGACAAAUGCUCCCGUCCCCGACAUUCCUCUGCAAGAGCCAAUUCUCAUCACCGACUUGGGUCUUAUCCAGCCUAUUCCAAGAAACCAGUUUUUCCAAAGUUAUUUUAAUAAUAAUUUUGCCAAUGAAGCAGAUAGACCAUACAAGUGUUUUUACUGUCAUCGAGCAUAUAAAAAAUCUUGCCACCUUAAACAACACAUCAGGUCACAUACAGGGGAAAAGCCUUUCAAGUGUGCUCAGUGUGGAAGAGGCUUUGUUUCUGCAGGUGUGCUCAAAGCACAUGUCCGGACGCACACAGGACUGAAAUCGUUUAAGUGUCUGAUCUGUAAUGGAGCCUUUACCACUGGUGGUAGUCUACGGCGACACAUGGGUAUCCAUAAUGACCUCCGUCCCUAUAUGUGUCCUUAUUGCCAGAAAACCUUUAAGACCUCCCUAAACUGCAAGAAGCACAUGAAAACCCAUAGGUAUGAGCUGGCUCAGCAGCUGCAGCAGCACCAGCAGGCGGCCCCCGAGGACGACGGCGCCGUGGACGCGCAGGGCCUGCAGGUGUCGGCGGCCCUGCCGGUGGAGAUGGAGAGCGCGGAGCUGCCGCCCGCCGCCGAGGCGGUCCCCGCGGACCCCGAGGCCCUGCUGGACCUGGGCCCCCAGCCCGUGGUGGGCACAGAAGACGGAAGCCUCGCGCAGCCCCUCGCGGAGCAGCCUCUGGAGGCCGGGGAAGAUGGGUUUGCGGCCCCCCAGGACCCUCUCCCGGGCCACAUGGACCAGUUUGAAGAGCAGACACCUCCACAGCAGCCCUUCGAGCCAGCAGGGUUGUCACAAGGCUUUCCAGUGACUGACACAUACAAUCAACAGGCUCCGUUUCCACCUGUGCAGCAGCUACAGGAUUCCAGCACACUCGAGUCCCAGGCCCUGUCUACAACUUUUCACCAGCAGAACUUGCUGCAGGUUUCCAGCUCUGACACCAUCAAUGUGACAACUCCUUUGCUUCCGGAGUCAUCCCAGGAAGAGCUGGACCUGCAGACCCAGCGUCCUCCGUUCUUAGAGGACAGCGAGGACCAGAGCAGGCGCACUUACAGGUGUGACUAUUGCAACAAAGGCUUCAAGAAAUCCAGCCACUUGAAGCAGCACGUGCGGUCACACACAGGGGAAAAGCCCUACAAGUGCAAGCUCUGUGGGCGUGGCUUUGUUUCAUCUGGUGUCCUCAAGUCCCAUGAGAAGACUCACACUGGAGUAAAGGCAUUCAGCUGCAGCAUCUGCAACGCCUCGUUCACCACCAACGGCAGCCUCACGAGGCACAUGGCCACGCACAUGAGCAUGAAGCCUUACAAGUGCCCGUUCUGUGAAGAGGGAUUCCGCACUGCUGUUCACUGCAAAAAGCACAUGAAGAGACAUCAAACGGUCCCCUCCGCGGCAGCCACUACUACGGAGACAGAGGCAGGAGACACAUGUGUGGAGGAUGAAGAAGAAAACCCUGACAGAAGUGCAUCACGGAAGCCCCGCCCGGAGGUCAUCACGUUCACAGAGGAGGAGACGGCCCAGCUGGCCAAGAUCCGGCCCCAGGAGAGCGCUACGGUGUCGGAGAAGGUGCUAGUGCAGUCAGCUGCAGAAAAGGACCGCAUCAGUGAGAUGAAGGACAAGCAGGCCGAGCUCGAAGCAGAGCCCAAGCAUGCCAACUGCUGCACGUACUGCCCCAAAAGCUUCAAGAAACCCAGUGACUUGGUGAGGCAUGUUCGCAUCCAUACUGGAGAAAAGCCAUAUAAGUGUGAUGAGUGUGGGAAGAGUUUCACAGUGAAGUCUACCCUCGAUUGCCACGUGAAGACGCACACAGGUCAGAAGCUAUUCAGCUGCCACGUGUGCAGCAAUGCCUUCUCCACGAAGGGAAGCCUGAAGGUCCACAUGCGCUUGCACACGGGAGCCAAGCCUUUCAAAUGCCCGCACUGCGAGCUGCGCUUCCGCACUUCAGGACGAAGGAAGACCCACAUGCAGUUUCAUUACAAGCCAGACCCGAAGAAAGCCAGGAAGCCGGUGCCACAGAGCCCGUCGGAAGGACUGCAGCCUGUGAACCUCCUUAGUUCUUCUUCCCCUGACCCCAGCGUGUUCAUCAUGAACAACUCCGUGCUGACGGGGCAGUUUGAUCAGAGUUUGCUCCAGCAGGGGCUGGUGGGCCAGGCUAUCCUGCCUGCCUCCGUGUCAGCUGGUGGGGACUUGACAGUGUCCCUGACAGACGGGAGUUUGGCCACCCUGGAAGGCAUCCAGUUACAACUGGCUGCUAAUUUGGUUGGACCAAAUGUUCAGAUUUCAGGAAUUGAUGCCUCCAGCAUCAAUAACAUCACCUUGCAGAUUGAUCCAAGCCUUUUGCAGCAAACGCUACAACAGGGCAGCCUGCUCAGCCAGCCGCUCACAGGGGAGUCAGGCCCGGCCUCACAGAGCAACUCUGUCCCGACGACUCCAGACAGCACUGUCCCAACCAGCGUGGUCAUUCAGCCCAUCCCAGGCCUGUCCUUGCAGCCCACGGUGACCUCUGCCAAUCUGACCAUUGGCCCACUGUCGGAGCAAGAGUCUGUGCUGACCACCAACAGCAGCGCAGGGACCCAGGACCUGGCUCAGGUGAUGACGUCACAAGGCAUCGUGUCCACCUCCACGGGCCCCCAUGAGAUCACCCUGACCAUCAACAACUCAAGUCUCAGCCAGGUCCUGGCCCAGGCCGCGGGCCCCACCGCCACGCCAUCCUCAGGCUCUCCCCAGGAGAUCACCCUGACUAUCUCUGAACUGAAUCCUGCAAGUGGGAGCAUCCCUUCGUCCACACCAAUGUCACCUUCAGCCAUCUCCAGCCAGAAUCUGGUCAUGUCCUCAUCCAGCAUGGGGGGGGACGCGAGCGUCACCCUGACCCUGGCUGACACUCAGGGCAUGCUGUCAGGAGGCCUGGACACAGUCACGCUCAACAUCACUUCGCAGGGCCAGCAAUUCCCCACCUUGCUCACGGAUCCCUCGGGCCAAGGCGGGUCAGGCUCCCCGCAGGUCAUCUUGGUGAGCCACACCCCGCAGUCCUCCUCUGCUGCCUGUGAGGAGAUAGCCUACCAGGUGACGGACGUCUCCACGCCCCUGGCCCCGAGCAGCCAGCCUGAGAAGGAGGGCCCUGCACACCAGUGCCUGGACUGCGAGCGCAGCUUCUCCUCGGCCGCCGUGCUCAUGCACCACAGCAAGGAGGUCCACGGCCGGGAGCGCAUCCACGGCUGCCGCGUCUGCAGGAAGGCCUUCAAGCGCGCCACGCACCUCAAGGAGCACAUGCUGACACACCAGGCGGGCCCCUCGCUCAGCUCUCAGAAGCCCAGAGUGUUCAAGUGUGACACGUGCGAAAAGGCGUUUGCCAAGCCCAGCCAGCUGGAGCGACACAGCCGCAUUCACACAGGGGAGCGGCCGUUCCACUGCACGCUGUGCGAGAAGGCCUUCAACCAGAAGAGCGCGCUGCAGGUGCACAUGAAGAAGCACACCGGGGAGCGGCCCUACCGCUGCGACUACUGCGUCAUGGGCUUCACGCAGAAGAGCAACAUGAAGCUGCACAUGAAGCGGGCACACAGCUUCGUGGGAACGCUGCAGGCGGCCACGGUGGUGCAGGAGCAGGACGGGGAGGAGCUGCGCACGCUGCACCUGGAGGAGGUGGUGCAGGAGGCGGCGGGCGAGUGGCAGGCCCUCACCAACGUGUUCUGACGCCCGCCCCUCCUUCCAGAAGCUCUGCGGGGAGACCGGGGCCGCCGCGCUAAAAACCUCCCACAAGCGCUUUUUAGCUAUAAAAUUACCUAAGGAAUCAUUGUCCUUCAGAGACUGACAGGAAAGAACUGAGAAAGAUGUAAAUGUGUUGUCAUUGUCUACAAAUCACUGAACUCAGUUCAUUUGCAGGUAGAUGGAGGACAUUGAUGUGUUAUUUUGAUUUUCCUCCUGAUCAUAAAAGCUGCUUGUCAUGUAAAACAUUCCUUGAGAAUGCCGGGCUUUGAACACACGCCCCUCCACCGAAUCCUGGUGGCUCCCGCGGCCGCGGCGCCGCGGGCUGGAGGAGGGCGCGGUGUGCCGACUGCCCGGCCGAGCCAGCAAACGCGGUCCAUCCCUUCCCUCCAACGUGGCGGAACGGCGUGGCGCGGGAGCGCACGUCAAGUUCAGAUGUGCUUAAAGAACAACCCUGGCCAGUGGCGGUUCCCUCGGCCUCUCUGCUGCCCCGACCGCGACGCGCCCCUCCCGCCCCGGGUGU